rnacentral:rRNA from 1 species
GAAUAUUGGACAAUGGGCGCAAGCCUGAUCCAGCCAUGCCGCGUGAGUGAUGAAGGCCUUAGGGUUGUAAAGCUCUUUCGUCCGGGACGAUAAUGACGGUACCGGAAGAAGAAGCCCCGGCUAACUUCGUGCCAGCAGCCGCGGUAAUACGAAGGGGGCUAGCGUUGUUCGGAAUCACUGGGCGUAAAGGGCGCGUAGGCGGCCAUAUAAGUCGGGGGUGAAAGCCUGUGGCUCAACCACAGAAUAGCCUUCGAUACUGUAUGGCUCGAGAGCGGAAGAGGUAAGUGGAACUGCGAGUGUAGAGGUGAAAUUCGUAGAUAUUCGCAAGAACACCAGUGGCGAAGGCGGCUUACUGGUCCGGUUCUGACGCUGAGGCGCGAAAGCGUGGGGAGCAAACAG